rnacentral:rRNA from 1 species
GAUGAACGCUGGCGGCGUGCCUAAUACAUGCAAGUCGAGCGAACGGACGAGAAGCUUGCUUCUCUGAUGUUAGCGGCGGACGGGUAAGUAACACGUGGAUAACCUACCUAUAAGACUGGGAUAACUUCGGGAAACCGGAGCUAAUACCGGAUAAUAUUUUGAACCGCAUGGUUCAAAAGUGAAAGACGGUCUUGCUGUCACUUAUAGAUGGAUCCGCGCUGCAUUAGCUAGUUGGUAAGGUAACGGCUUACCAAGGCAACGAUGCAUAGCCGACCUGAGAGGGGGAUCGGCCACACUGGAACUGAGACACGGUCCAGACUCCUACGGGAGGCAGCAGUAGGGAAUCUUCCGCAAUGGGCGAAAGCCUGACGGAGCAACGCCGCGUGAGUGAUGAAGGUCUUCGGAUCGUAAAACUCUGUUAUUAGGGAAGAACAUAUGUGUAAGUAACUGUGCACAUCUUGACGGUACCUAAUCAGAAAGCCACGGCUAACUACGUG